GGACUCAGGAUACUCAGAGAGGAUGGACUGAGGGGACUCGGGGGAGGAUGGACUCAGGAUACUCAGAGAGGAUGGACUGAGGGGACUCAGGGGAGGAUGGACUGAGGAUACUUGGGAGAGGAUGGACUGAGGAUACUCGGAGAGGAUGGAUUGAGGGGACUCGGGGGAGGAUGGACUGAGGAUACUCGGAGAGGAUGGACUGGGGGGACUCGGGGGAGGAUGGACUCAGGAUACUGAGAGAGGAUGGACUGAGGGGACUCAGGGCAGGAUGGACUGAGGAUACUCGGAGAGGAUGGACUGAGGGGACUCGGGGGAGGAUGCACUGGGGAUACUCAGAGAGGAUAGACUGAGAGGACUUGGGGGAGGAUGGACUGAGGGGACUCUGGGGAAAAUGGACUGAGGAUACUAGCGGAAGAUGGACUGAGAAGACUCGGGGAAGAAUGGACUGAGGAUACUCGCGGAGGACGGACUGAGAAGACUCGGGGGAGGAUGCACUGAGGAUACUCGCGGAGGAUGGACUGAGAAGACUCAGGGAGGAUGGGCUGAAGAUACUCGGGGAGGAUGCACUGAGGAUACUUGGAGAGGAUGGACUGAGAGGACUCGGGGAAGAAUGGACUGAGGAGACUCGGAGAGGAUGGAUUGAGGAUACUCUGGGGAGGAUGCACUGAGGGCGCUCUGGGAAGGAUGAACUGAGGAGACUCAUGAAUAGUCUCCCACUACUCUAUCAGAGAUAACCACAUUUUAGCAAACACUCCGUUGGAGUCACCCCAUGCACACAUGUGUACAUGCAGCCAAGCCUUUUCCCAUGCUAUUAGCUGGUGCAAGUUCCAUCCCUGGAUUUUAAGCAUGGGUCGCCUGGAAGAGCUUUGUUAGAGGAAGAAGAAAGAGGUGUCUCUCAGGAAAAUCCUGGUUCCCAAAGUUGCACAUUAUGUCAGAUGUACCUGUCUUUGACGGCUGGGAGAGCGGACAAGACCCUGCCCCAGCCCUGGCCAGGAAUGGUGGCUGGUGAGCCCCUAGUUGCAGGCAACCUGGACCUGUCCUCGCAGCACCUGAAGAGGGGAAAGGAGACUUGAGGAGAAUGACUGUCCCCAGGCGACCGCCCAUGAACACCUGAGCACCCAUCUGAUAAACAGCCUGGAGUCACUGGAGAGUGACAGCUUCCAUGUAUAUUCAUAUAUGCUCACCAUUAUUUUUCAUAACCACAUCACAUUGCAUCAUUUUAAUGUAUCAUAAUUUUCUCAACCAGCCCCAUCCAGAAGCUUCUUAACCCAAUCUCUUUCUAAGGCCCUCCAAAGGGCUGGAAGAGGGAGCAUCUUUAUUUUGCUGCUGCCAUCAGGGGUCUUGGGAGAGUCCCCUUGGAUCCUGAUUUUUCAGGGCUUGAUGCCUGAGAAUAACUGACAGAAAUUUUGAGAACUGUGCCCCCCGUAAUAACAAUAAUUAACAUUGUUUUCAGUACUCUGGGCCAGGCACUGUUCUAAGCACUUUGUACAUAUUAUCUAAGUGACUCUUCACAACAACAACCUUCUGAGCAUGCCCUGCCAAAUCUUACCAUAGAACAGAUGCCUGUGGCGCUGCGGUGGUGCCCAACAGCUCUGAGUUUCAGCCUCUUCUUCCUGGGACUUAACCUCUCACUCUCCACUGCUGUCCUUUGAACCCACAGGAGUAAAUUGGUGAGCAUCAUUCAUUCAAAUGCACCAUGAGAAGUGUAGUGGGGAGAUGCAAAAGAAGAAUGAAAUAGCCCACAGAAGAUUUCCACACAAGCUGAUAAAUAUACACCUGUGGUUCUCGUUAACCACAGGAGUCAGUGUGGCCCUGUGUGAUAUAAUAAAGAAUAAACCUUU